rnacentral:rRNA from 1 species
GACGAACGCUGGCGGCGUGCUUAACACAUGCAAGUCGAACGGAAAGGCCCUGCUUUUGUGGGGUGCUCGAGUGGCGAACGGGUGAGUAACACGUGAGUAACCUGCCCUUGACUUUGGGAUAACUUCAGGAAACUGGGGCUAAUACCGGAUAGGAGCUCCUGCUGCAUGGUGGGGGUUGGAAAGUUUCGGCGGUUGGGGAUGGACUCGCGGCUUAUCAGCUUGUUGGUGGGGUAGUGGCUUACCAAGGCUUUGACGGGUGGCCGGCCUGAGAGGGUGACCGGCCACAUUGGGACUGGGAUACGGCCCAGCCUCCUACGGGAGGCAACGGUGGGGAAUAUUACACAAUGGGAGGAACCCUGGUGCGACAACGCCGCGUGCGGGGAGACGGCCUUCGGGUUGUAAACCGCUUUCGCCUGUGACGAAGCGUGAGUGACGGUAAUGGGUAAAGAAGCACCGGCUAACUACGUG